UUUCCCACAGCUGAAAGGCAAAAACGUGCAUCGUUGAGCGACGCACCUUUUUUUUAGUUAUUUAUUUAUUUAUUCAUGUGUUGUUGUUUAUUCCUCUCCGCGCGCUUCCUGUUCGUCGGAGCACUGGCUUAUUCCGGGAAAAAAAGGGGACAUUUACAAUAAAUGGGGAUUUUCCUCUUUUUUUUUUUCCUCUCCCCAAAAAAAGGCUUCUUCACCGGGUGAUCGAACCUUUACAGAUGUGGUGAGAUGGAAACGACCGCUGUCAACAUCUGCUCACAGAUCUGUUGGAGCUGAAGGUGGAGGCUCUCGCGCUCUCUCUCUCACCGUGUGUGUGAGGCUUUUGCUGUCUUCUGCUCCGCAACGAGGAUGCUCUUUGCCCUACAUGUGAUUGUCAUGUCUUCUGCGUUUUUCAACCCCAGUUUUGCCUUCAGCUCUCACUUUGAUACAGUGUGUCCUUGGCCCUGGCUGUCGGGGGGGCGGACAUGACCGGUCUGUAAUGCUGAUCCAUGGCCGGUCCUUGCGGGCCUCUCACUCCCAGUUAAUGACAGUGAUCAUGGAUCUCAAGGGAGCCUGAGCGAUCUGCACUCAUUCACAAGGAGCGUGACUAAGGAUGUCACUUUUUGUGGAUGAUACCGACUGUUCCCUGCCAUUAAUCAUGUCGGGCUCUUCUGUUUGCUGUCGGCCCUUCCCUCGGGUUGACAUACACUCUCUGCACCCGCCUAUUUUAUUGUUUUCUCACCUCACAAACUUUCCCUUUUGCCUUAUUUCUCUAAAAUAAUUUCUUUCUCACCUCCUGUCCUAAAUCCUGAUCUCUCCACUCGUCGUGCAGCCUGUAACAGAGGAUUGCUGCUGCUGCUGUUGUUGGAUGUUUUAUCUCUUGGGAAGCACAGCUGACUGCAGCCAACAGACUCCCAGUGGCUGUUGAACGUAAAGAAAGAGCAUUUUGCAUUUUAUAUACACACACGCACAAAAGCAGAGGAUAAUCAAUACAUCACCAGACUAGGAACGACACAACGGACAGGACAAGAUGGAGGCAGAUGAUCCGCUGUGGUGACACCUAAAGGGAGAAAGAAGAACAUGAGGCUAAAGAAAAGUGGCAUUGAACGUGAACCUUUUGAAUUUACCUUCAAAUAACUAUAAAUUAUUGUAUAUCGCUGCAUGCAUCACCCUGGGUUCUAUUUCUGCCAAAAUUGAGCAGGACAGACAAUGUUACAACACUAAAAGCGCUGUUUUCCCAAUAAAAUGUUGUCAUUUUGUGAUAA